rnacentral:lncRNA from 1 species
CAUAAAAGAUGUGUUACCCUCAUUAUUGCAUUUUAAUGAAUUAAUUCGAGUGUGAUUUAAUUAUUUAUUAAUUAAUCCUAAUGAAUGCAGGAUGAGUGAAACUCAUUUGGGAUGACCCUGAACCCAAAUCACAUGCACCCCAUGAAUCAGAUCCUCCCAACCAAUUAGAGUCGACCCCAAUUUUCAUUUCUCCGCACGCACGUGCCAUCCCAAACAAUUUAUGAAUACGAACAAGUCUCUCUCCUUCAUUUCCCAUGUCUGCAUUCUUCCGCGAAUCUCCCAGCUUCUUCUGCUAGAUCCCAACCCGGAUAAGCCGGAUUAGCUCCAUCUCCAGCCAUGCUUAUCUCCCAUGAAUAAGGUCCAAGCUCUUCCUCCUCAUCUUCGUCCACGUCCUCAACCGAAUCCAAUCCCUUCCCACAUUUUCUCCCAGCCACAUUU